rnacentral:rRNA from 1 species
AGCAGCCGCGGUAAUUCCAGCUCCAAUAGCGUAUAUUAAAGUUGUUGCAGUUAAAAAGCUCGUAGUUGAAUUUCGGGAUCAAUAUAUCGGUCGUGCCUUUGGUACGUACUGGUAUCAUUGAUUUCUCCCUUCUGACGAAUCAUGAUGUCAUUAAUUUGGUGUUAUGAGGAGUUAGGACUGUUACUUUGAAAAAAUUAGAGUGUUUAAAGCAGGCAUUAGCUUGAAUACAUUAGCAUGAAAUAAUGAAAUAGGACGUUUGACCCUAUUUUGUUGGUUUCUAGGAUCGACGUAAUGAUUAAUAGGGAUAGUUGGGGGCAUUAGUAUUCAAUUGUCAGAGGUGAAAUUCUUGGAUUUAUUGAAGACUAACUACUGCGAAAGCAUUUGCCAAGGAUGUUUUCAUUAAUCAAGAACGAAAGUUAGGGGAUCGAAGACGAUCAGAUACCGUCGUAGUCUUAACCAUAAACUAUGCCGACUAGGGAUCGGAUGAUGUUAAUUUUAUAAUGACUCAUUCGGCGCCUUACG